rnacentral:rRNA from 1 species
UACGUAGGCAGCAAGCGUUGUUCGGAAUUACUGGGCGUAAAGGGUGUGUAGGCGGUUUUCUAAGUUUGGUGUGAAAUCUCCCGGCUCAACUGGGAGGGUGCGCCGAAAACUGGAAAGCUAGAGUACUGGAUGGGAGAGUGGAAUUCCUGGUGUAGCGGUGAAAUGCGUAGAUAUCAGGAGGAACACCUGUGGUGUAGACGGCUCUCUGGACAGUCACUGACGCUGAGACACGAAAGCGUGGGUAGCAAACAGG